UACAGAGGUCUCAAGCGUUGUUCGGAAUUACUGGGCGUAAAGGGCGCGUAGGCGGUGUGUCAAGUCAGGCGUGAAAGCCCCGGGCUCAACCUGGGAACAGCGCUUGAGACUGGCACGCUCGAGUUCGGGAGAGGAUGGUGGAAUUCCCAGUGUAGAGGUGAAAUUCGUAGAUAUUGGGAAGAACACCGAUGGCGAAGGCAGCCAUCUGGACCGACACUGACGCUGAGGCGCGAAAGCGUGGGGAGCGAACAGG
rnacentral:rRNA from 1 species